GUAUAAAGCAGGAACUGCCCCGUCCGCACUGGUCACCUGCAAAGCGGGGUGGUUUGGUAGUGACUUAAUGGGUGGCUAGGGUGGUGCGCGUGCGCAGAGCAGACGCGCUGUGCCUCCUGAAGGCGAGGGGGGGGGCUUCUUUACUUUUCCUUCCUUUGCAAUGCAAGGCUCCCUCUGAAAGGGAUUUGCAGCUGAAACUGCGGGAGCUGCAGCUGUCAAGAGCGAAAGGGGGUGGGUUGUGGGAAUGCGAGAGAAACAAAGAACAUGGCGAGACAUUGCAAGCAAAGAAGAGGUGGAGUCUGAGGUGACGGGAACCGAGUCCUUUCCCGCCCCUUGGGAAGGGAAGAAGGAAGGAAGGAAAGGACAGUAGAGGGGAGAACUGUGCCAAGCCGGCCCUGCGCUAGGAUGAGGAACGGCAAGAAUUGGGAAGGGGAGUUUUGUUUGUGCAUUUUAGUCCGGAGGGGGAAGGAAAUAUACGUGACGCUAACCGCGUCACUUUUUUUUUUAAAGUUGCGUGAUUUUUAAAACUAUAAAUAAAACAAUUGCAAACACCACUGGAAGGAGGUGAACAUGACCCUGCCUCUGCUUCAAUUUUGAGCUCGGGUCCCUGCUACAGUGUAGAGAAACGAGGCUCGAAAGGGCGCUCCCCUUUGAUAUGGUGGAGGAAGACUAAGCGGACCUGGCAGGCCAAGCUGAGCGGACUCUCCAUGCGCCAGAAGCUGCUAUGAGUGCAACCCAAAGUCGGGUUAUAAAAGCGCGGGGCAAAGGGGUAGUGUUGAUGGGCUGCCCCGCCUCUACUGCCCCGGACCAACAGGACGCGCGCUGACAACUUUGCCACAGGUGGAAGGGAUCCGCCGCCUUUCUUUCUCCACGUCUCGCGGUAGCCCCCAUUCUCUGCUGUGGGGAUGAUACUUUUGGAGGAUUGAACCCCACCGUCGUGGUCGCCCGUCUCGGGCUCCUUUUCUGCUCGACAUUACGUGGAAAGAGUUGCGCGGGAGAAAUAUCGCCUGUUUUUCUUUGCCCACAGGGGUUGUUAGUAAUCCAUGCCUUGCUACAGGAGGACGUGAAGCAAUAUCCCUGAUCAGGGGGGAAAUGGCAAUCUCUUACAAGCUGUGGAAGUGGUGGCCUAACGGAGUGAGCUCUACAGGUGCAGCAACAGAACGUUAAUGGGCAGGUGCAGCAUUCCAAACAUAUGUGCACGCAAUGGCAAUUCAAAUGAAAAGAGUGGAUUCUAUUCCAAAUGUAGAGAUAUCUGCAUAAUAUAUCUGAUUCAACAGUCAUUGUGCUGAAGAUGGCUUACAGUUCCAGAUACGUGAUCACCUGGACUCUGGUGCACCACUGCACACUAGCAGGAGACUUGGGAAUCCUUUGAAUUGAAAUAGGCUAAAGCUUGACGACACUGAUCUAGUGUAAGCAUACUGAAUGUCUUCUGGAGAUGUUGGGAGCUUUUUGUGUGAGACUCUCCUCCAAAUUGUAUCUACAUCCUUUCCGCCUACAAAGAAAACAUUGGAUUCUUAAGAGACAAAUCCAUCUAAUCUCUCCCUAAUGCUGUGAAUAUCUUUUUUUUUUCUCCCCUUACAUCUGCUUAUGAACUCUGGUCCUUUACAAUUGAUCCAGGAGAAUUCCAAGUGACAGGUAGUGUAAACAUCCUACACUCUCAGCUGUGUGGAAAAGAAGAAAGCUGGGAGAAGGCUGUUUACUCUCUCUGCCUUGGAAAACAGCUGAAGGAGGAAAACAUGGAGAUAUUGUAAGUUUUUUUUCUAAGCCCUGUUUUGAGCACUUAUAUUUGUGUAGUUGCGUGUGUUUGUAUUGACACCAGGUUGAACGAGUCCUGAUGAAAGUCUUUAAUUAAAAACAAAUUAAUGUAUAAA